UACGGAGGGUGCGAGCGUUAAUCGGAAUUACUGGGCGUAAAGCGCGCGUAGGCGGUCGGGUUAGUCGAUUGUGAAAGCCCAGGGCUUAACCUUGGAAUUGCAUUCGAUACUGCUCGGCUAGAGUAUGGGAGAGGGAAGCGGAAUUUCCGGUGUAGCGGUGAAAUGCGUAGAUAUCGGAAGGAACACCAGUGGCGAAGGCGGCUUCCUGGCCCAAUACUGACGCUGAGGUGCGAAAGCGUGGGGAGCGAACAGG
rnacentral:rRNA from 1 species